AAGUCGAACGCGAAAGUCCCCUUCGGGGGACAAGUAGAGUGGCGCACGGGUGAGUAACACGUAGGUAAUCUACCUUCGGAUGGGGAAUAACAACCGGAAACGGUUGCUAAUACCGCAUAAUGCAGCGGCACCUAAUGGUGACAGUUGUUAAAGCGGGGGAUCGAAAGACCUCGCGUCUGAAGAGGAGCCUGCGGCGGAUUAGCUAGUUGGUAGGGUAACGGCCUACCAAGGCUUCGAUCCGUAGCCGGCCUGAGAGGGCGGUCGGCCACACUGACACUGACAUACGGGUCAGACUCCUACGGGAGGCAGCAGUCGGGAAUUUUGGGCAAUGGGCGAAAGCCUGACCCAGCAACGCCGCGUGAAGGAUGAAAUCCCUCGGGAUGUAAACUUCGCAAGAACGGGAAGAAUAAGUAGGGGACAAUACCCCCUAUGAUGACGGUACCGUUUGUAAGCUCCGGCUAACUCCGUGCCAGCAGCCGCGGUAAUACGGGGGGAGCAAGCGUUGUUCGGAUUUACUGGGCGUAAAGGGCGCGUAGGCGGCCUCCGCAAGUCAAUUGUGAAAUCUCCGGGCUUAACUCGGAAAGGUCAACUGAUACUGCGGGGCUAGAGUGCGGAAGGGGCAACUGGAAUUCUUGGUGUAGCGGUGAAAUGCGUAGAUAUCAAGAGGAACACCUGCGGCGAAGGCGGGUUGCUGGGCCGACACUGACGCUGAGGCGCGAAAGCUAGGGGAGCGAACGGGAUUAGAUACCCCGGUAGUCCUAGCCUUAAACGAUGAAUGCUUGGUGUCUGGGGUUAUAUAG
rnacentral:rRNA from 1 species